rnacentral:rRNA from 1 species
GGAUGAACGCUGGCGGCGUGCCUAAUACAUGCAAGUCGAACGGACACCAAUCUUCGGAAAGAUGUUAGUGGCGUCCGGGUGAGUAACACGUAGUUGACCUGCCUUUGGCUGGGGGAUAACGUUCCGAAAGGAAUGCUAAUACCGCGUAAGCUCAGAGAGAUUAGCAGUCUCUGAGGAAAGUCUACGGACGGCGAAAGAGGGGACUGCGUUCCAUCAGCUAGUUGGUAAGGUAAUGGCUUACCAAGGCAACGACGGAUCGGGGACCUGAGAGGGUGACCCCCCACACUGGUACUGACACACGGACCAGACUCCUACGGGAGGCAGCAGUAAGGAAUAUUGCGCAAUGGACGAAAGUCUGACGCAGCAACGCCGCGUGCGGGAUGAAGGUCUUCGGAUCGUAAACCGCUUUUCUAAGGGAAGAGCAAGGACGGUACCUUAGGAAUAAGUCUCGGCUAACUACGUGCCAGCAGCCGCGGUAAAACGUAGGAGGCGAGCGUUAUCCGGAUUUACUGGGCGUAAAGCGCGUGCAGGCGGUUGGACAAGUCAUGUGUGAAAGCUCUCGGCUUAACCGGGAGAGGCCAUGUGAUACUUUCCAACUAGAGUCAAGUAGAGGCAAGCAGAAUUCCGGGUGUAGUGGUGAAAUGCGUAGAGAUCCGGAGGAAUACCAGUGGCGAAGGCGGCUUGCUGGACUUGAACUGACGCUCAGACGCGACAGCAUGGGGAGCGAACGGGAUUAGAAACCCCGGUAGUCCAUGCCGUAAACGAUGUUCACUAGGCGUUGGGGGCAACAGCUCUCAGUGCCGAAGCAAACGCGAUAAGUGAACCGCCUGGGGACUACGACCGCAAGGUUAAAACUCAAAGGAAUUGACGGGGGCCCGCACAAGCAGCGGAGCGUGUGGUUUAAUUCGAGGCUACACGAAGAACCUUACCUAGGCUUGACAUACAGACCAAGUGAACGGAAACGGGAACGGCCUUCGGGGGUCUGAACAGGUGCUGCAUGGCUGUCGUCAGCUCGUGUCGUGAGAUGUUCGGUUAAGUCCGGUAACGAGCGCAACCCUCGGGUCUAGUUACAAGUGUCUAGACCGACUGCCCGGUGAAACUGGGAGGAAGGUGGGGAUGACGUCAAGUCAGCAUGGCCUUUAUGUCUAGGGCUACACACACGCUACAAUGGACAGGACAAUAGGUUGCCAACCCGCGAGGGGGAGCCAAUCCACCAACACUGUCCUCAGUUCGGAUUGCAGGCUGCAACUCGCCUGCAUGAAGUUGGAGUUGCUAGUAAACGCAGGUCAGCUAUACUGCGUUGAAUACGUUCCCGGGCC